CGGAGGAAAAGAAACUAACAAGGAUUCCCCUAGUAACGGCGAGUGAACCGGGAAGAGCUCAAAUUUGAAAUCUGGCGUCCUCAGGGCGUCCGAGUUGUAAUCUAUAGAGGCGUUUUCCGUGCCGGACCGUGUCCAAGUUCCUUGGAACAGGAUAUCAAAGAGGGUGACAAUCCCGUACUUGACACGACGACCGGUGCUCUGUGAUACGUCUUCUACGAGUCGAGUUGUUUGGGAAUGCAGCUCAAAAUGGGUGGUGAGUUCCAUCUAAAGCUAAAUAUUGGCGAGAGACCGAUAGCGAACAAGUACCGUGAGGGAAAGAUGAAAAGCACUUUGGAAAGAGAGUUAAACAGUACGUGAAAUUGUUGAAAGGGAAACGAUUGAAGUCAGUCGUGACCGAGAGGCUCAGCCGGUUCUGCCGGUGUAUUCCCCUCGGUCGGGUCAACAUCAGUUUUGUCCGGUGGAUAAGGGCGGUAGGAAGGUGGCACCCUCGGGUGUGUUAUAGCCUGCCGUCGCAUACAUCGGGUGAGACUGAGGAACGCAGCUCGCCUUUAUGGCCGGGGUUCGCCCACGUCCGAGCUUAGGAUGUUGACAUAAUGGCUUUAAACGACCCGUCUUGA
rnacentral:rRNA from 1 species